UAAAGGUUUGGUCCUGGCUUUUUUAUUAAUUGUUAGUAAAAUUAUACAUGCAAGCAUCACCUUCCCAGUGAAAAUGCCCUUCUACUCAACAAGAGUUACAGGAGCGGGUAUCAAGCACACCCUUGGUAGCUCAUGACACCUUGCUUAGCCACGCCCCCACGGGAUACAGCAGUAAUUAAAAUUAAGCAAUAAACGAAAGUUUGACUAAGCUAUACUAACCUCAUAAAGGGUUGGUAAAACUCGUGCCAGCCACCGCGGUCAUACGAUUAACCCUAAUUAAUAAACCCCGGCGUAAAGAGUGUUAAAGUUAAAAUAAAAAUAAGAUUAAACUAUAUCUAAGUUGUAAAAAACAACAGAUAAAAGUAAACCCACAGACGAAAGUAAUCUUAGUAGACCUGAAUACACCAAAGCUAAGACCCAAACUGGGAUUAGAUACCCCACUAUGCUUAGCCGUAAACAUAAACACUUAAUAACAAAAAUAUUCGCCAGAGAACUACUAGCAACAGCUUAAAACUCAAAGGACUUGGCGGUGCUUUAAACCCAUCUAGAGGAGCCUGUUCUAUAAUCGAUAAACCCCGAUAAACCUCACCACUUCUUGCUAAUUCAGUCUAUAUACCGCCAUCUUCAGCAAACCCUAACAGGGAUAAAGAGUAAGCACAAUCACGUCAUAAAAACGUUAGGUCAAGGUGUAACCAAUGAAGUGGAAAGAAAUGGGCUACAUUUUCUUACUUCAAGAAAACAACCAACAGUAAUCUUUAUGAAACCUAAAGAUUUAAGGAGGAUUUAGUAGUAAAUUAAGAAUAGAGAGCUUAAUUGAAUUAGGCCAUAAAGCACGCACACACCGCCCGUCACCCUCCUCAAAUAUUAACUCAAAUUAAACAAAAUUAUAUAAGUAUGAGAGGAGACAAGUCGUAACAAGGUAAGUAUACUGGAAAGUGUGCUUGGAUAAA
rnacentral:ncRNA from 1 species